rnacentral:lncRNA from 1 species
AAAUACUUUUAAUAGUGUAGAUCAAGUCUAACGGAGCCGAUCGUCGAUUUGAAAGCCGCAUCAUCGAAAACAACUUGGUAGCACGGAGGCCUCCGUGCUACCGAUCGUAUACCAGCCUAGCUCUAUAUAUAUAUAUAUAUAUAUAUAUACACACUUAAUUUGUUCAAGAAUUAAAUAUUUUGUAAUUAAGUAUGAUUUUAAAAUAAUAACAUAUAUAAAUAUAUUUUAUAUAAUAAAAU